rnacentral:rRNA from 1 species
AACGAACGCUGGCGGCAGGCCUAACACGUGCAAGUCGAGCGCCCCGCAAGGGGAGCGGCGGACGGGUGAGUAACGCGUGGGAACGUACCCUUUGCUACGGAAUAGCCUCGGGAAACUGGGAGUAAUACCGUAUACGCCCUUAGGGGGAAAGAUUUAUCGGAGGAGGAUCGGCCCGCGUUGGAUUAGGUAGUUGGUGGGGUAAUGGCCUACCAAGCCGACGAUCCAUAGCUGGUUUGAGAGGAUGAUCAGCCACACUGGGACUGAGACACGGCCCAGACUCCUACGGGAGGCAGCAGUGGGGAAUCUUAGACAAUGGGCGCAAGCCUGAUCUAGCCAUGCCGCGUGAGCGAUGAAGGCCUUAGGGUUGUAAAGCUCUUUCAGGGGGGAAGAUAAUGACUGUACCCCCAGAAGAAGCCCCGGCUAACUCCGUGCCAGCAGCCGCGGUAAAGUACAGUGU